rnacentral:rRNA from 1 species
UACGUAUGGUGCAAGCGUUAUCCGGAUUUACUGGGUGUAAAGGGAGCGCAGGCGGCACGGCAAGCCUGAUGUGAAAGCCCGCGGCCCAACCGCGGGACUGCAUUGGGAACUACCGGGCUGGAGUGCCGGAGAGGUAGGCGGAAUUCCUAGUGUAGCGGUGAAAUGCGUAGAUAUUAGGAGGAACACCAGUGGCGAAGGCAGCCUACUGGACGGUGUCUGACGCUGAGGCUCGAAAGCGUGGGGAGCAAACAGG